rnacentral:rRNA from 1 species
GUGCCAGCCGCCGCGGUAAUACCGGCAGCCCGAGUGAUGGCCACUCUUAUUGGGCCUAAAGCGUCCGUAGCCGGCCUCGCAAGUCCGUCGGGAAAUCCAGUAGCUCAACUACUGGGCGUCCGGCGGAAACUACAAGGCUUGGGACCGGAAGGCUCGAGGGGUACGUCCGGGGUAGGAGUGAAAUCCCGCAAUCCCGCACGGACCGCCGAUGGCGAAAGCACGUCGCGAAGACGGAUCCGACAGUGAGGGACGAAAGCUAGGGUCUCGAACCGGAUUAGAUACCCCAGUAGUUC